AAAUUGAAGAGUUUGAUCAUGGCUCAGAUUGAACGCUGGCGGCAGGCCUAACACAUGCAAGUCGAGCGGAAACGAGUUAUCUGAACCUUCGGGGAACGAUAACGGCGUCGAGCGGCGGACGGGUGAGUAAUGCCUAGGAAAUUGCCCUGAUGUGGGGGAUAACCAUUGGAAACGAUGGCUAAUACCGCAUAAUGCCUACGGGCCAAAGAGGGGGACCUUCGGGCCUCUCGCGUCAGGAUAUGCCUAGGUGGGAUUAGCUAGUUGGUGAGGUAA
rnacentral:rRNA from 1 species